UACGGAGGAUCCGAGCGUUAUCCGGAUUUAUUGGGUUUAAAGGGUGCGUAGGCGGUUUUGUAAGUCAGUGGUGAAAUACUCCAGCUUAACUGGAGGGGUGCCAAUGAUACUGCAGAACUUGAGUACAGAUGAGGUAGGCGGAAUUGACGGUGUAGCGGUGAAAUGCAUAGAUAUCGUCAAGAACACCGAUAGCGAAGGCAGCUUACUGGGCUGUAACUGACGCUGAGGCACGAAAGUGUGGGGAUCAAACAGG
rnacentral:rRNA from 1 species